rnacentral:rRNA from 1 species
AAUGAACGCUGGCGGCAUGCCUAACACAUGCAAGUCGAACGAAGCCUUCGGGCUUAGUGGCGCACGGGUGCGUAACGCGUGGGAAUCUGCCCUUGGGUUCGGAAUAACUCGCCGAAAGGUGUGCUAAUACCGGAUGAUGUCGAAAGACCAAAGAUUUAUCGCCCAGGGAUGAGCCCGCGUAGGAUUAGCUAGUUGGUGUG